CGACAAUAUAGAGCAGGUUUUGGAUUGUUUCAUGCAAUCUAAUGUCUAAGUUUAGAGGCAGUGGUGACUAAUGCAAGGGUUGUUGAUCAAAGCAAAAGGUUUCUAGAAUUCAAGAGCUGUUUCAGUGAUGGUAAAGCACCAUGACCAACAAACAGUGUGGCCAUGGAGAUUGGUCAAGGUGAGGGUUUUAAAUACUUUAUUUGUAAUAUAUUUAUUAAAGGUGGGCACCAGCUCAUGCAAUCCAUUAUAUUUUUUGUAGAUUGGGUUCGAUUGUCAAAAUCACAACCUACAAAACUACAAUAUUCUAUUGAUCUCAUUGUUGUUUUUGCUAUUUUUGCUGUUGUUACUACAAUUUUUUUUUUCUACUACAGUUUUUGCUAUGAAUUAUUAGUGUUUAAUUUGAUUUUUGAGACUUUAAUUUUAGGAUUUGUUUAAGAAUUGUAUGUAACGAUGUUUUGGAUCUGAACUAUAAAUUUAAAUAGAUGUUCUUAUUAGUAUUUUAUAUUAUUUGGUAUAAUCUAUUAAUUUAUUUAUUAACUGCCUUAAUUUCUUAAAUAAGUCGCGUUGGGUUAUGUUUUCUCAAAUCUACACCAUUCGCGGGUUGGAUUGGUUGAGUACCUAUUUGACUCAAAAUGACUUGUGCUCCUAAAUAUUUAUGGAUUGUUUACUCUACCAAGAUUUAAAUUUGCAGUGACCAUAGUUUUUUAGAUCUUAUUUUAUGUUAAUGUAGUACUUGUUUUCUGGAUCUGGUAUCUACAAGUACAAAUCUAGCAAAUAACUAAUUGAAUCAUUUUUUGCAAAAGAUCUAUCACGAUAUUGGUUGAAAGAGCCAAAUUAAACAUAAAAGAUGGAUUGAAAGAGAUUGGAGAUAUUCCUGGAAAAUUUAUAAAGAUAGCUCCAAAACUUUACAAUUUUGCAAAUUUGACACUACAAAACUAUUUUUAUCAUAAUUGGCCAAACAUGGAUUUUUUGGACUAAAUUACCCCUUAUUUGCAAGAACGAAACUCUCCCUUACCAAACCAAAAUUGAUUUUCUUUCUGUCAUCAUCAAUGGCACUAGUGAUGGUGACAAAAGAUGAUGAAUCGAACAUUGAUGGUAAUUAGGGUGACCACAAAGGUGACGACAAAUCAACUUAAUCCACCCAAAUCUAAAACGAAUCCAACAAAUCCAAAUGAGCCUAAACCCUAAGCAUGUUAACUUCAUCAUCUUUUAAUAAUUUGAAUGAGUUUGAACAGAAUUAUUUAUGAUUAUAUGUUGUUAGAGGACAAUAAUGAAAUAAAAAUUGGUUAAAAUGAUGAGUUACAAACUCUUAGUUUUGUGCUUAAUUUGUAUAAAUUAAGUGUGAAAACAAUUUUAAGUAUAUAUUGUGUUGUGUUUGGUGGCUUAGAUAAAAUCUUUUGGUUUAUUUCUUAACUUGAUAAUGAAUUAUGUCAAUGAGCAUCAUAAUCAUAUAUUUUUGAGAGACUAGAAUAUUGAGUAAUAUAACUUAUUAGUUUAACAUCAUUAUGAUACUUUUACGCUGUGUUUACUUUUUGAAGUGAGAGUGAGGAGUGUGAAUUCCUCCCACUCAAAUAUUUACUUCAACAAUUUAAGGAGGGAGUGGGAAUCCCACUCUGUGGGCCCCACCCAUUUUUGGAGUGGAGAGUGGGAGUGGGACUCCCAUGGGGAGAGAUGGGAGUGGGAAUCCACUCCCACCUCUCUCUUUUUUACCCUUUUUUAUUAUUAAAUUUAAUAUAAAAUAAAAUAAAAUAGAUAAUAUUAUAUUUAUUUAAUAUUAUUAAUUAAUAAUAAUAAAUUGUUUAUUCUAAGAAAAUAAUAAAAACUAUAAUUCUUUAAAUAAGGAUAAAAUUGUAAUUUGAAACUAUUUACUCCCAAUUCAAGACAAAGUAAACACAUAAAUUGGAUUCUGAUCUUCAUUCCAUACUUCCAUUACAGUGUAAGUAAACAACUUACUCCUACUCUCACUCCACACUCCUAAUCUUAGGAUUCCCACUCCUCAGCAUUCCCACUCCAAUCCAAGAGUAAACGCUACCUUAAAGUAGGGAAGGUGUUGGAAGGAAUAUGCAUUUUAAUUUGGUGUGCAGAAUGUCAUCUCCAACAAUACAAUGGCUAUAACUUAAAAAUAGUUUGGGAACAAACUCUCAUUUGAUGUGACCAUGUGCUUUUCGCACUAACCAAAAUGUCAUUUAGUAUGACAGGGUAGAUAUUUUCUUUUUUUCUUUUUUUAAUGUUCUUAACUUUUAUAAAUGUACUAGAAGACACUGCAUAUGUUAUGGACAAAAUUGAUGUGCUAAAAAUCGCUCUAUAUUAUUUUAUGGAUAUAGUACUAAAUGGAGAAAAGAUCAUUGUCAAAUACAUUUCUCAUUGCUCAAUGAUGUUAAGAUAUAUCAUUUCCAAAAUCGCCAGUGGGAUCUUUUGCCAUGGAAAACAAUAUAUGACAAUCUUGCGAAUACAAUGGACAGAAACUUAAGAAUGCUCGCUUGACAAACUCUAUGCAUAGCAUUGAGAGAUGUAAUCAUAAUGGCUUUACUGCUAAGGUUCAAGUGUGUUGGGAAAAAAAAAAUCAAUUUACUUAGUUUUACACUAAUGAAUAUUGAAAAAUAAUUUUUUAUGACUUUGUAACUUUGCUUGUUACAGGCUUAGCUUUUUAAAGCUACCGAGGGGCUGCCAUCAGAGUGGAAGAAUAUUCAUUGCAUCUUACAGUGGAAGCUCAUUACUUCUUCUAAAAUAAACUUUUCUGAGAUGUAUUCAUUCGUUUACAAUAUGAGGAUGUUAUACAAACCAUUGAGCUAGACGCAAAGGAGAAAGUAAAAAGAUAUUGGAAGAUUAUAGAGGAUUACAUGUCAUAUAUGCCAAGAUGGAUCCAUAAUAUGGAUAUCGUUGAGUGCAUUAUAUAUACUAUUUAAAA
rnacentral:lncRNA from 1 species